GACGAACGCUGGCGGCGUGCUUAACACAUGCAAGUCGAACGGAAAGGCCCUGCUUUUGUGGGGUGCUCGAAUGGCGAACGGGUGAGUAACACGUGAGUAACCUGCCCUUGACUUUGGGAUAACUUCAGGAAACUGGGGCUAAUCCCGGAUAGGAGCUCCUGCUGCUUGGUGGGGGUUGGACAGUUUCGGCGGUUGGGGAUGGACUUGCGGCUUAUCAGCUUGUUGGUGGGGUAGUGGCUUACCAAGGCUUUGACGGGUAGCGGGCCUGAGAGGGGGGCCGGCCACAUUGGGACUGAGAUACGGCCCAGACUACUACGGGAGGCAGCAGUGGAGAAUAGUGCACAAUGGGCGGAAGCCUGAUGCAGCAACGCCGCGUGGGGGAUGACGGCCUGCGGGUUGUAAACCGCUUUCGCCUGUGACGAAGCGUGAGUGACGGUAAUGGGUAAAGAAGCACCGGCUAACUACGUG
rnacentral:rRNA from 1 species